UGGCGGCGAGUGGCGAACGGGUGAGUAAUACAUCGGAACGUGCCCAGUAGUGGGGGAUAGCUCGGCGAAAGCCGGAUUAAUACCGCAUACGACCUGAGGGUGAAAGCGGGGGAUCUUCGGACCUCGCGCUAUUGGAGCGGCCGAUGGCAGAUUAGCUAGUUGGUGGGGUAAAGGCCUACCAAGGCGACGAUCUGUAGCUGGUCUGAGAGGACGACCAGCCACACUGGGACUGAGACACGGCCCAGACUCC
rnacentral:rRNA from 1 species